rnacentral:lncRNA from 1 species
AUCUCUGUGAUGUGUGGAUCGACCAGAGCAAAGAACCAAAGGGACAAACCCUAACUUCAUGAACUUCUCAAAAUCAAAAGGGAAUUAAGAGCCCAAAUGGAUGCAUGAACUCAAAUUUCGUAUAAUCUGAGCUUGUUCAACGAUCGGAAUAUGUUGAACAUGAUGAAUUAUGAUAAUAUGCUUAUGGAGGCAUUAAGGAAGAAAGUUCGAGUCAAGUGAAGCAACAAGGAAAUCAAGACCGAGGUAAAUCUCAUGUCUAACUAUCAAGCUUUGCCCGGAUCGAACACACCUCAAGCCCGUCAAGCGUUCCGCAUUUUGUAAAAGUCAAUGUUUGCCAUUUUGUCACUAAUGUCUAUGUUUAGUAGUUAAACCUAGUUUCUAUUAUGUUUGUCUUUGGAAAACUUGUCGUAAGUACGUACGGAAACUUAAUGGUUUUGUAAGUAACAACAUGGUAUGUUUUGACGUAUAAUUUGUGUCUUUUGAAUGGUUGCGUAGUUUUUAAAUGAUAUUUGAUUAUGAAAAACAGGGGACGGUUCGUUUUACGAACGGGUCAUGCCCAAAUUUUGUUAGAAAAAUACGUUGUUAAUUAAUAAAUUUAAAAAGAAAAUUUG